rnacentral:rRNA from 1 species
AGCCAAACUGAAAUCACAAAAUCACAAAAUGUGCUUAUUGUGAUAACGUAAGGGAAAAAAAUGAUAUUACCUUACUAUAAGUGUUGUCUAAAUAACUGGUGCCAGAAGACUCGGUAACACCAGAAACGCGAACGUUAGUCGUCUUAAACAGGCGUAAAGGGUAAGUAGGCAGCUUUAAAGUCUAUUUUUAAAUAAGCUAGUUAAUAAUAUUUCUCCCACCGCCUCGCUUUGCGAGGCUUAUAGGUAGUCCCCCUCCCCUAAUUCUUUAAUUUUAACUAAAUAAAGAUAAAAAGGGAGGGAGUUAGACCCUGUCUAUAAAUUUUAUAGAUUUUCAGACCUUAAAUUUAAGGCUAAAUUAAAAUGAAAAUAGGGAUUAUUAUUAGAUCCGCAUAACUUAUAAUAAUUAAUUAUUAAUAGGACAAAAUAGAUACACUUAAAGCUAGAAUCUUAAUUGAGAUAAACCAAAUAAUGCUUAUGUGUAAGGGCGAUAUCUGAAAAUACUAAGUAGAAUACUAACGGUGAAAACUUUUUAUCUGAUAAUGAUUGACGCUGAGGUACGAAAGUGAGAACAGGGAAUAGGAUUAGAUACCCAGUUACCUCUCACCGUCAACGAUGAAUGGUAGUUGUUAAUUUAAUUUAAUUAGUGACGAUGUUAACGCGAUACCAUUCCGCCUUGAGAGUACGGUUGCAAAACUGAAACCAAAAAAAUUAGUCGGUCUCGGAGCA